UAUUGUUUGAGCUUAAUUUCAAGUCUUGCAAACUCAGUUCGUGUGCUUGCUAACCUGGAUGGGUCAGUUGGCCGCAUUUUAAAGAGGACUGAGCUAGACAUGGAAUUUAUUCAAUGUGACAUCAACAACUUAACAUGGAGAGGUCAGAUUGUUGAAACAGUGGUUAUGAAUCCAUCUUUUGGAACACAAAGGAAAGGACACAUGUUUCUUCCACCAAAUAAUGCUCAUGUAGGUGGCUGGAUUUACAGGUGGAAGAAAUAUGCCAACCAUGAUGCAGAGCAAACAUGUUAUAAAUUGGACAAUCCACAUGGUUUUCCACAGAUAGCAACGAUGGUAUCGACUCGAGUUAACUUCCUGCCGUUGGAGUUUUAACAUUUUAUCUAUAAAAAAUAUUUUAAAUCUCAAGAUUUAUGUAACGUCAUAUCAUGUCCUAA